rnacentral:rRNA from 1 species
AUUGAACGCUGGCGGCAGGCCUAACACAUGCCAGUCGAGCGGAUGAAGGGAGCUUGCUCCUGGAUUCAGCGGCGGACGGGUGAGUAAUGCCUAGGAAUCUGCCUGGUAGUGGGGGAUAACGUCCGGAAACGGGCGCUAAUACCGCAUACGUCCUGAGGGAGAAAGUGGGGGAUCUUCGGACCUCACGCUAUCAGAUGAGCCUAGGUCGGAUUAGCUAGUUGGUGGGGUAAAGGCCUACCAAGGCGACGAUCCGUAACUUGUCUGAGAGGAUGAUCAGUCACACUGGAACUGAGACACGGUCCAGACUCCUACGGGAGGCAGCAGUGGGGAAUAUUGGACAAUGGGCGAAAGCCUGAUCCAGCCAUGCCGCGUGUGUGAAGAAGGUCUUCGGAUUGUAAAGCACUUUAAGUUGGGAGGAAGGGCAGUAAGUUAAUACCUUGCUGUUUUGACGUUACCAACAGAAUAAGCACCGGCUAACUUCGUG